AUGGUUGAGCCCCUGUUUAAAAGGAAACUCAGCCGAGCCCCAGCAGCAAAACUCAACCUGGCUGCUAAACCGCUACUGAUCCUUGUAGGGAUGACUGUCUGUAAAUCAGAGUUGCAUUGUUCCUGGGUUCUGUCUGUUGUUCCAGCCAAGUGAUAUUUGGAUGGAGAAGCUAAGGGCUAAAGCAGAAGCAUGUGAUGCAUGGCACAAAGAGAAAAUUUCCUGGAGAAACUGAAAGGAAAAUAGAGGGCAGAACCCUUGCUUGAAAAGGUACUGGUCUACAUAGCUGUAGGUGUUACAGGGAAAUCACAUCACUUUAAAAGUGCAAGAUUAUGCAAUUUAAAGUUGAAAGCAGAACAUUAACUCCAUAUACAGGCAGAGAAUGAAGUUCCCAAAUGACGCUUUGAGAAAGAGGACAUUUUUCCAAAUUAACAGAAGGAGAGAGAGAAAACUCAGAGCUGGACUGAACCCCAAAUGUGGUGGUCAAGUUUCAUCAAGAUUCUAGCUGCGCAGAUCAAGAAUUACCAGGAUGUAAAAAGUUGUGUGGAGUCAAAGCUAUCAAGCACUCAACCACAGAUUCCUCAUCUGUCCAGGUUACCAGCAGUAUGUGAUAGUUGAAACUUUCCAAUACACUGGAGUCAGCUGAUGAAAGGCAAAUAUUGUAAAGAUCUUGUCCCAUUGUAGAACAGUGUUCACUAACUUUGUUUUUCUGCAUUUCUUGUGAAAUAAUAUUAUCCUACCUCCACCCCACACCAGAGGCAGCAUAAUCCUCUGUCCACAUACUGUACUGUAAAUUUCAAAAAGAUUGGAGUGUGCCACUGAUCAUACCUCAAAUGUUUAUGCAUGCUGUUUGAUCCCAGAAUACUGACUUAUGUCAUUAAUGGCUUGUGUCAUCCUCCUUUCCAGUUUCAGAAAUGGCAAGUGUUCAUCAUCUUAGCUACACUAAUCUAAUGCUUAAAGAAAAAAUAGAAAAGAACAAGGUAAAGCAGAACAGGACAUUGUAAAACCAGAUUCAGGAUGACUAUAAAAGGGACAAAAUAAAAUCAGUUAAAAAUUUUUUCCUUUUGUGUAU
rnacentral:lncRNA from 1 species